UCGGCACGUAGCGCAGCCUGGUAGCGCACCGUCAUGGGGUGUCGGGGGUCGGAGGUUCAAAUCCUCUCGUGCCGACC
rnacentral:tRNA from 2 species